rnacentral:rRNA from 1 species
GAUGAACGCUAGCGAUAGGCUUAACACAUGCAAGUCGAGGGGCAGCAUGGUCUUAGCUUGCUAAGACUGAUGGCGACCGGCGCACGGGUGCGUAACGCGUAUGCAACUUGCCUCACAGAGGGGGAUAACCCGUCGAAAGACGGACUAAUACCGCGUACACUCCACUUUGGGCAUCCAAUGUAGAGGAAAUGAAAUUCGCUGUGAGAUAGGCAUGCGUCCCAUUAGCUAGUUGGUGAGGUAACGGCUCACCAAGGCGACGAUGGGUAGGGGAACUGAGAGGUUGAACCCCCACACUGGUACUGAGACACGGACCAGACUCCUACGGGAGGCAGCAGUGAGGAAUAUUGGUCAAUGGGCGAGAGCCUGAACCAGCCAAGUCGCGUGAAGGAUGGCUGUCUUAUGGAUUGUAAACUUCUUUUAUACGGGAAUAACAAGAGCCACGUGUGGCUCCCUGCAUGUACCGUAUGAAUAAGCAUCGGCUAACUCCGUGCCAGCAGCCGCGGUAAUACGGAGGAUGCGAGCGUUAUCCGGAUUUAUUGGGUUUAAAGGGUGCGUAGGCGGCCUGUUAAGUCAGCGGUGAAAUCUAGGAGCUUAACUCCUAAAUUGCCAUUGAUACUGGCGGGCUUGAGUGUAGAUGAGGUAGGCGGAAUGCGUGGUGUAGCGGUGGAAUGCAUAGAUAUCACGCAGAACUCCGAUUGCGAAGGCAGCUUACUAAGGUACAACUGACGCUGAAGCACGAAAGCGUGGGUAUCAAACAGG